UACGUAGGGUGCGAGCGUUGUCCGGAUUUAUUGGGCGUAAAGAGCUCGUAGGCGGUUUGUCGCGUCGGCCGUGAAAUCUCCACGCUUAACGUGGAGCGUGCGGUCGAUACGGGCAGACUUGAGUUCGGUAGGGGAGACUGGAAUUCCUGGUGUAGCGGUGAAAUGCGCAGAUAUCAGGAGGAACACCGGUGGCGAAGGCGGGUCUCUGGGACGGUACUGACGCUGAGACGCGAAAGCGUGGGGAGCGAACAGG
rnacentral:rRNA from 1 species